CUAAAUCAUAAAAUAAAUUUACGUACCACCUUCUUAACACCUAAUAUCUGUAUAGCUCAAAUUAUAAAAAUUGCCACAACACCACCGACACAAUGUAACUUCUACAUCUGUUAAAUGCUAUUUUGUAUGCAUAAAGUCUGAAUAAGUUUUGAAUGAGUCAUAUAUUCUUUCUUAUAAGCAUAAAUUAAUAGAUAAAACAUAUACAAUCUCCAUCCAAGUACAUUUGCUUCUACUAUGACAAAAUACUUUCAUAGAUUUUUUAAAUAAAAAUAC
rnacentral:lncRNA from 1 species